rnacentral:tRNA from 1 species
CCCCCGAUGGUGUAGUUGGUUCAUCACGUCUGACUGUAAUGGAAACAUUUAAUCAGAAGGUCACCGGCUCGACUCCGGUUCGGGGGA